GCAUUGUUAUUACAGAUACACUGUUUUCUCUAUCAAAAGACUUGUGCUGGCAAGAGCUGGUAAUAAAGCUUCCAUUGUGUCAUGGAAAACAGUCUUUACUGUGUUCCAGCCAACAUUGCUCUCUCCCACAGUCUUUAAGGAACUCAACAUGGUUCAAAUUGAGAUCUCCUUCUAACAUACGUCCCUGACAAAACCAGACUUUUUCAUCAAUUCUUGAUGUAUUUUGAGGCAUAUGUGGCAGCAUUUUCUGAAACUGUUUUCGUGAUCUAAAUAAAAGCUACUGUUAACAAAAGCUGUGCUAUAGUUUUAGGAUUGGUGGAAAUGCAUUUUAGUAUAAUUUGCUUCAAAACCAGCUCAUAUUUGAUCAAGAAUCACCUGUAUGAUACUACAGGAAGAAGGGCUCCCAGAUGAUAAUGAAACAGAAGUGGUUUACUGUACAUUAACAUAUUCAUCAAAACAAUUACACUGAAUUGAGUGUAAAAGGAAGAGAGAAAUCUAUUAGCACAAAGCAUGUGGAGAGAAACAUUUCCUCCCAGCUCACAUGGGUUAUUUUUGUCUUUUCCAGAUUAUUGGCAAGUCUCAUGGUGAUUUCCAUCUAGAGUUUACAGCGGCUGCCCCAGAAACAGUCACCCAGGAAAGUCUGUGGCUACAGAAACUACCCACAACACCUGGACCACAGCAGAAUUUCCCUGAUGACAAAAGCAUUGCUUGCUGCUAAGAGAUAAUUUUGAUGCAAAAUACAGAGCAGGAUACCUGUAAAUCACUUCUGAGGAGGACUAUGGCCCCAGAGCUCAUAGCAUUUCCUGACUACAUACGGUUUCAGAACAGUUUAAUUCAGUGUAUGUCUACAUUUCCACUGCAUGUCCCUCAAAUGGUUAACACCACAGAAAGAAAAAGGAAAACAAGGAAAAAGAAGAAAGUACUGCAGUUAGCGGAGUGAAGAAACUCUUGAAACACUGUUGUCUGAAACAAAAGCAAGGCACUCUCCCUUAACACCUGAUAUAUUCCUGAUUUCUGCCUAGACAAAGGCAUGUUCACACUGAGAGAGCUGUGAGGAAGGUAGGAGAUUUAUUCUGCAUUUAUUCUUCUUUCACCAUCGUGACCUGUCACUGGCUGCACUCUACGAUGGGUCUGUGCACUGGAGUUGAAAUGAAGGACGGUUCGGUAGGUGACAGGAAUGGGAGAGUAUCACAGUUAAGACUAUCCAUGGAAGACUGAAGCACACCGGCUACAUGAAAUCUCACGUGGGGCUCUGGACCUGCUCCCUCCGUUCACAUCCCACUGAAUAAAUAAACCUCGCUCAACA
rnacentral:lncRNA from 1 species